ACGAACGCUGGCGGCGUGCUUAACACAUGCAAGUCGAACGGAAAGGCCCUGCUUUUGUGGGGUGCUCGAGUGGCGAACGGGUGAGUAACACGUGAGUAACCUGCCCUUGACUUUGGGAUAACUUCAGGAAACUGGGGCUAAUACCGGAUAGGAGCUCCUGCUGCAUGGUGGGGGUUGGAAAGUUUCGGCGGUUGGGGAUGGACUCUCGGCUUAUCAGCUUGUUGGUGGGGUAGUGGCUUACCAAGGCUUUGACGGGUAGCCGGCCUGAGAGGGUGACCGGCCACAUUGGUACUGAGAUACGGCCCAGACUCCUACAUUAGGCAGCAGUGGGAAAUAUUGCACAAUGGUCGGAAGCCUGAUGCAGCAACGCCGCGUUCGUGAUGACGGCCUUCGGGUUGUAAACCGCUUUCGCCUGUUACGAAGCUUGAGUGACGGUAAUGAGUAAAGAAGCACCGGCUAACUACGUG
rnacentral:rRNA from 1 species